rnacentral:rRNA from 1 species
UACGAAGGGUGCAAGCGUUACUCGGAAUUACUGGGCGUAAAGCGUGCGUAGGUGGUUCGUUAAGUCUGAUGUGAAAGCCCUGGGCUCAACCUGGGAAUGGCAUUGGAUACUGGCGAUCUAGAGUGCGGUAGAGGGCAGUGGAAUUCCCGGUGUAGCAGUGAAAUGCGUAGAGAUCGGGAGGAACAUCUGUGGCGAAGGCGACUGCCUGGACCAGCACUGACACUGAGGCACGAAAGCGUGGGGAGCAAAAGGG